GACCCGAUGCCAGGUCCAGUGGACAGACUUCAGACGUGUCUGUGUGUCCGGUCCUGUCCUGUCCUGUCUCUGGUUGCCAGGUUACAGACGCUGCUGCACCCGCACGUUUAAAAAUGUCUACACCUGAAACCCCACCACAUCUACAGAAGCAAAAACGUUUGCAAAUGUACAGACUGGAGUGGGAAGAGUGGAACCCCUGGCAAUGGGUACAAGGCAAACUGUGUUUUCUGUUGCUCAUGGACUGGCUGAAGUAAGGCAGCAUCAGGAGACAAACAUGGAGGAAAUAUGAGAACAGAAAGAACCCAACCAGCAGGUCACAGUUUAUCAUCAUCUAAUCAUCUCCUGAAGUCGAUAUGGUUUCCCAGAGACUAUGGGUUGAGGAGGAAUUGGAAGUUUGUCGGCUUAGACCUGGUGUCAUUCCAUCAGUGUUAAACUUCCCGGUUCAUCUUGGAAGAGUAUGUGCCAGAAAGACCACGACCAAGCAGCCUUGAGAUCUUAGGCAGCGUCUCCCUGAGGUUCCUCUCUAUCUCCCCACACAUCCACCAACCACUGGAACACAUCUCCAAAGUUCUGCCGGACCAGCUCAGCUUCCCCUCAGAAGAAGUGCCGCCACCUGCCAGAUGAAGGAGCCUUUUGAGAGGCAGCUGGCAUCGUGAUUGGACGGUACUUUGGUCUGUUCCAAUCCAGCUUCAGCUCCAGAGACGGCAGGCGGGACGAGUCAACGGAGGCCUGGUGGACGAAGGCAUGCAGCUGAGUACAAUCCAGAAAACAACAGAGGAGAAGUGCAGCAGCCCAGGGCCAGAACAACCAGAGUAGCAUCGUAUGUCUCUUAGAAAACAUCAUAGUAUAGCCUUUGGUAUGAAAAAACACCAUCAUAUACAUCGUAUAUUGUACAAAUAACAAGUCAAAGGAAAGAGACAUACAUUGUAGAAUUGUAGUAAUUGUGGGCUGACUGAUUUACUGAUUAUCAGUAUUUUAUUUUUUACUGAUUUACGGUAAUAAAUACAUUUAAAAAUGG